ACUCAAAUGAAUUGACGGGGGCCCGCACAAGCAGCGGAGCGUGUGGUUUAAUUCGAUGCAAAACGAAGAACCUUACCUGGGCUUGACAUGCUAGAUGUAGGAACCGGAAACGGCAACGACCUGUAAAAUCAGGAGCUAGCACAGGUGCUGCAUGGCUGUCGUCAGCUCGUGCCGUGAGGUGUUGGGUUAAGUCCCGCAACGAGCGCAACCCUUGUCUCGUGUUGUUUUCUCACGAGAGACUGCUCUGUAAAAGGAGAGGAAGGUGGGGAUGACGUCAAGUCAGCAUGGCCCUUACGUCCAGGGCUACACACACGCUACAAUGGGAAGGACAGAGGGUUGCUAAACCGCAAGGUGGAGCUAAUCCCAUCAAACCUUCCCCCAGUUGGGAUUGCAGGCUGCAACCUGCCUGCAUGAACGUGGAGUUGCUAGUAACCGCAGGUCAGCUAUACUGCGGUGAAUACGUUCCCGGGCCUUGUACACACCGCCCGU
rnacentral:rRNA from 1 species